GUGGUAGUUAGUGGUAGAUGGUGGUAGUUGGUGGUAGAUGGUGAUAGAUGGUGGUAGAUGGUGUUAGAAGGUGGUAGAUGGUGGUAGAUAGUGGUAGAUGGGGUAGUUAGUAGUAGAUGGUGGUAGUUAGUGGUAGAAGGUGGUAGAUGGUGGUAGUUAGUGGUAGAUGGUGAUAGAUGGUGGUAGAUGGUGAUAGAUGGUGGUAGAUGGUGGUAGAUAGUGGUAGAUGGUGUUAGAUAGUGGUAGAUAGUGGUAGAUAGUGGUAGAUAGUGGUAGUUGGUGAUAGAUAGUGGUAGAUGGUGGUAGAUAGUGGUAGAUGGUGUUAGAAGGUGGUAGAUGGUGGUAGUUAGUGGUAGAUGCUGGUAGUUAGUGGUAGAUGGUGAUAGUUAGUGGUAGAUG
ensembl:lncRNA